UGAGUAAUGCCUAGGAAAUUGCCCUGAUGUGGGGGAUAACCAUUGGAAACGAUGGCUAAUACCGCAUGAUGCCUACGGGCCAAAGAGGGGGACCUUCGGGCCUCUCGCGUCAGGAUAUGCCUAGGUGGGAUUAGCUAGUUGGUGAGGUAAGGGCUCACCAAGGCGACGAUCCCUAGCUGGUCUGAGAGGAUGAUCAGCCACACUGGAACUGAGACACGGUCCAGACUCCUACGGGAGGCAGCAGUGGGGAAUAUUGCACAAUGGGCGCAAGCCUGAUGCAGCCAUGCCGCGUGUGUGAAGAAGGCCUUCGGGUUGUAAAGCACUUUCAGUCGUGAGGAAGGUAGUGUAGUUAAUAGCUGCAUUAUUUGACGUUAGCGACAGAAGAAGCACCGGCUAACUCCGUGCCAGCAGCCGCGGUAAUACGGAGGGUGCGAGCGUUAAUCGGAAUUACUGGGCGUAAAGCGCAUGCAGGUGGUUUGUUAAGUCAGAUGUGAAAG
rnacentral:rRNA from 1 species